rnacentral:misc_RNA from 1 species
UAUUAUCCAGCAUCCGCAAUAGGGAUGGAAGCGGCAUCCUUGGAGCGGAGCGAGGCGACGGUGUUACGGCGCGACGAAGGAGCAACGUAACAUAGACGACCGAGCGAAGCUUCCAAGAUACAGCGAACAGCCCGACCGAGC